UACGAGGGGGGCAAGCGUUGUUCGGAAUUAUUGGGCGUAAAGGGUGCGUAGGCGGUUCGGUAAGUUUGAUGUGAAAUCUUCGGGCUCAACCCGAAGCCUGCAUCGAAAACUGCCGGGCUUGAGUGUGGGAGAGGUGAGUGGAAUUUCCGGUGUAGCGGUGAAAUGCGUAGAUAUCGGAAGGAACACCUGUGGCGAAAGCGGCUCACUGGACCACAACUGACGCUGAUGCACGAAAGCUAGGGGAGCAAAC
rnacentral:rRNA from 1 species